rnacentral:lncRNA from 1 species
AAUUAUGGUCUUAUAUAAAUGUUUAUGGUAUUUGAUAGGUUUUGGAGAAAAGUAUUGAUUUAGAGAAGAGUUUUGAAGUCGUGAAGCUGUGUGAAGAGGAAGUUGUGCACGUCUGCCGUGCGGUGUGCCCAUUCUGCCUGGGCGUGAAUUGAUUGCAUGGAUUGAAGACUAAAGUGCCGAAAAGAAAGACAUGCUGAGCCACCAUGUUUGAUUUGGACUGAUUUUAAGUUAGUUAAUUAGCUAGUAGUCCACUAGUUUGUUUUUGUGGACUUUAUAUUAUUUUUUUUAGUUGCCUAUUUAGACUAGGUUAGUAGGUUUUGAUUUUUCCUUAGUUAUAUAUAUAUAUGUAUUAGUUAAGUUUUGGGGGAUAUCAAAAACCAUAGCAGCUGCAACUUCUGGGCAGCAUACUCGGACGAAAUUUGGAGCUCUAAUUCAAGUUUUAUUCCUUCAUCUUUCCUUUGCAAUUAAUUAUUUAUUUUGUUUGAUUUAUUUUUAUUAUGAGUUCUAGCUAAAUUUCUAUAUUCCGGCAUUGAUUAGGGAAGCACUAGCGAAAUUAUUCUGUGAGAUCUAAUUGUUCUUAUACUUUAUUUUAUGCUUGCAUCUGCGAUUCUUCAUGUUUAAUGAUAUUAAUUGUUUUAAUCCAUUAGAUAGUUGCAAAUAUUUAUUGGGUUAGAAUUAAUUAUAUAGCCAAUUGAACCGGCCAUCCGUAAUUGUGGUUUAGGUUUGAUUAGUGGUAAAUUGACACAUCAGGGUCAAAGGAAAAGCAGUCUUAAUUCAAUAAUCCUGCGUCAGAGUUUAUUGGUUUUGAAUCGGGUUUCUCUAGAUAUUAAUGUUAUCGGCUCAUUAAACCUAUAGAGCGUCUCUUACGGUUGUCAGUCGAUUAGGGUAGUAAUUAGUGAAGCGUCUUCCUGGUUAUCGAAUAAUUAAGGAGAAAUAAGAUCACGUCAGAAGCGUCUUCGGUGGUUAUAACUGGUUUGUUUGCAUGAUUUAAAGUUAUUUUUGCAUCGAUGAUCGGAAUAAUUAAGCUAGGGUGGACUUAAUUGAUUGCUGGAAUUCUUUUAUUAAUUGUUGGAAUUUUUAUUCAUCUUUUAGUUAUUGGAAAAAUUGGUUUAUUUGGAUUUUAUUUAUUUAAUUUUAAGUUUAGUAUUUUCUAUAUUUUCUUCUCAAAAUUUCGUGGGUUACUUGCAGGCUUUAAUUAGAGAAAUUCUCGCCAGUCCCUUGGGAGACGAUUUUGCUUACUGCUGUCUGCGCAGUGUGGGCAUACCGGCUGACUGCCGGAUAUUUUUGGUGUAAAACGACGCACCA